AUUGAACGCUGGCGGCAGGCCUAACACAUGCAAGUCGAACGAGUGGCGGACGGGUGAGUAAUGUCUGGGAAACUGCCCGAUAGAGGGGGAUAACUACUGGAAACGGUAGCUAAUACCGCGUACAAUAGGAUGUACCCAUAUGGGAUGAGCUUGUAGGUGAGGUAAUGGCUCACCUAGGCGACGAUCCCUAGCUGGUCUGAGAGGAUGAACAGCCACACUGGAACUGAGACACGGUCCAGACUCCUACGGGAGGCAGCAGUGGGGAAUAUUGCACAAGUGGCGCAAGCCUGAUGCAGCCAUGCCGCGUGUAUGAAGAAGGCCUUAGGGUUGUAAAGUACUUUCAGCUGGGAGGCGUUACCCGCAGAAGAAGCACCGGCUAACUCCGUGCCAGCAGCCGCGGUAAUUC
rnacentral:rRNA from 1 species